rnacentral:misc_RNA from 1 species
CAACCCUCAAGCAAUGCUUGGUAUUGGGCUCCGCUGCUCACCUAGCGGGCCUUAAAAUCAGUGGCGGUGCCGUCGGGCCCUGAGCGCAGUAAAUAUCCUCGCUUUAGGGACCCGGUGGACGCUAGCCAUCAACCCCCAACUCUCUAA